rfam:Anolis carolinensis chromosome 1, whole genome shotgun sequence.
UUAGGGUAAUGACCUAUGAUUUGACAGACUGUGCUUUCUAUGUCUGCCUGUCAUUUCUGUAGGCCAAUACUCUGU